UAGCCAUAUCAUGUUGAAACACUGGUUCCUUGUAUGAUCACCAAAGUUAAGUAAUGUCGAGCCUGGUCAGUACCUAAAUGGGUGACCACUUGGAAAUACCAGGUGCUGUAA